UACAGAGGUGGCAAGCGUUGUUCGGAAUUACUGGGCGUAAAGGGCGCGUAGGCGGUUCGUUAAGUCCUGUGUGAAAUCCCCCGGCUCAACUGGGGAACUGCACAGGAAACUAGCGGGCUUGAGUUCGGGAGAGGGAAGCGGAAUUCCGGGUGUAGCGGUGAAAUGCGUAGAUAUCCGGAGGAACACCGGUGGCGAAGGCAGGUCUCUGGGCUAUAACUGACGCUCAUGCACGAAAGCGUGGGGAGCAAACAGG
rnacentral:rRNA from 1 species